UACGGAGGGUGCAAGCGUUAUCCGGAUUCACUGGGUUUAAAGGGUGCGUAGGCGGGCAAGUAAGUCAGUGGUGAAAUCUCCGGGCUUAACCCGGAAACUGCCAUUGAUACUAUUUGUCUUGAAUACUGUGGAGGUCAGCGGAAUAUGUCAUGUAGCGGUGAAAUGCUUAGAUAUGACAUAGAACACCAAUUGCGAAGGCAGCUGGCUGCACAAAUAUUGACACUGAGGCACGAAAGCGUGGGGAGCAAACAGG
rnacentral:rRNA from 1 species